rnacentral:rRNA from 1 species
GUGGGGAAUUUUGGACAAUGGGGGCAACCCUGAUCCAGCCAUGCCGCGUGCGGGAAGAAGGCCUUCGGGUUGUAAACCGCUUUUGUCAGGGAAGAAAUCCUUUGGGUUAAUACCCUGGGUGGAUGACGGUACCGUAAGAAUAAGCACCGGCUAACUUCGUGCCAGCAGCCGCGGUAAUACGAAGGGUGCAAGCGUUAAUCGGAAUUACUGGGCGUAAAGCGUGCGUAGGUGGUUGUUCAAGUCUGUCGUGAAAGCCCUGGGCUCAACCUGGGAAUGGCGAUGGAAACUGGGCGACUAGAGUGCGGUAGAGGAUGGCGGAAUUCCCGGUGUAGCGGUGAAAUGCGUAGAGAUCGGGAGGAACAUCCGUGGCGAAGGCGGCCAUCUGGACCAGCACUGACACUGAGGCACGAAAGCGUGGGGAGCAAACAGGAUUAGAAACCCUUGUAGUCC